GACGAACCGUGCGAACGUUGUUCGGAAUCACUGGGCUUAAAGGGCGCGUAGGCGGGUUAUCAAGUCAGGGGUGAAAUCUUUCGGCUCAACCGGAAAACAGCCUCUGAUACUGGUAGUCUUGAGGGAGGUAGGGGCAGGUGGAACUUCCGGUGGAGCGGUGAAAUGUGUUGAUAUCGGAAGGAACGCCGGUGGCGAAAGCGACCUGCUGGAUCUCUUCUGACGCUGAGGCGCGAAAGCUAGGGGAGCGAACGGG
rnacentral:rRNA from 1 species